GCUGGGAUGUCCGAGUUGGUCUAAGGAGCCAGAUUUAAGUCCUGGUAGGGAAACCUGCGUGGGUUCGAACCCCACUCCCAGCA
rnacentral:tRNA from 1 species